UUUCAGUACGAAUACGAA
rnacentral:snRNA from 1 species